rnacentral:rRNA from 1 species
AUUGAACGCUGGCGGCAUGCCUUACACAUGCAAGUCGAACGGCAGCACGGGUGCUUGCACCUGGUGGCGAGUGGCGAACGGGUGAGUAAUACAUCGGAACAUGUCCUGUAGUGGGGGAUAGCCCGGCGAAAGCCGGAUUAAUACCGCAUACGAUCUACGGAUGAAAGCGGGGGACCUUCGGGCCUCGCGCUAUAGGGUUGGCCGAUGGCUGAUUAGCUAGUUGGUGGGGUAAAGGCCUACCAAGGCGACGAUCAGUAGCUGGUCUGAGAGGACGACCAGCCACACUGGGACUGAGACACGGCCCCGACUCCUACGGGGGGCAGCAGUGGGGAAUUUUGGACAAUGGGCGAAAGCCUGAUCCAGCAAUGCCGCGUGUGUGAAGAAGGCCUUCGGGUUGUAAAGCACUUUUGUCCGGAAAGAAAUACUUGGCUCUAAUACAGUCGGGGGAUGACGGUACCGGAAGAAUAAGCACCGGCUAACUACGUG